UCCCUGCUGAUCGAGUGGCUAAGACUCUGUGCUCCUAACACAGAGGGCUCAGGUUCCAUUCCUGGUCAGGGAA
rnacentral:tRNA from 1 species